CUGCCUCCCUCUCGUCUCUGCCUCCCCAGCUUGCGCACAGUGGGUCCUCAGUCAGUGCCUCCUGACUGGCUGAAAGCCGGCAGCGGCCCAAUAGUGCAGCUGGGAAGGGCUAACGCUCCUCCCUGGGAGUCUGGGGAAGUCCAGGUGGCUCAGGGCUCUCCUCUGGAGCAAGCUGGCGUCCCAGCCCUCCGCCAAGGUACACACCUCGGAGGGCUCGCCGCACAGGCUGGGCCCUGCCAGGUGCCUGCAGCUCCGCCACCACGCCCCACCUCAGAGCCGCCCCGGAUCAGGGGGGCUGCAGGAUGAAGAGGGGGCGAUCCCGGUCCUGCAGCCAAUCCAUCCCUUUUUGCCUGACCCAAGACAGGCAGCCACGGCUGUUCUCGCACACUGACCACAAGCGGCAGGCGACAUUAUUGUUCCCGCGUUCCAGACUGGGCCACAGGCUUGGGAACAUCGGCUCACUCGCCCACACCAUCCAGCUGUAACCGGCAGAAACUGGAGUCCUGCUGGGCCUCCCCCACAGCGGCCACGACCCCCCCGUCCAGCGAACAGGGACUCGGUCCCCCUCCCAGGGCUCAGUGCGGGGAGCCCUCAGGUGCUGGGGGCAGGGAUCUGUGACCUGCGGGGGGUGGGAGGGUGGGAGGCACCCAGGCGGCCACUGCUCCUCCUCCCGUUGACUCUGAGGCAGGGCCUGCUGCAGUGAGAAGGAGACGCUGGCUGUGGUGGGUUUUUUUUAACCACUUGAUCAUGAUCAAGGAUUUAAUUUUAUCCCCCUCUCUGGCUGGCUCUGAUUCUAUUUGGAGUUUAAGCACGAGCUGGUGAGCGGGAGGGUCCCUGGAAGAUAGGACUCCCACCCCCAGGCUCUGCAAGGCCCCUGGCUUCCUGUCCAGCGUGGCAAGAUCCGUCUGGGGGACCCGGUCUGCUCUGCAGGUUCAGGACGGCUGAAGAAUGGCUCCAGUUCACACCCUGCCCCCACACAAAGCUGCUUAGCCGAGGGAGCUGUCCAGGCCCGGGGCUGGAGGCGGCUCUUGCCCGGCUUCUGUCAAGGGAUCAUCUCAGCUCUUUCACCCUCAGCGAAAAAGUGUUUAACAAGCACCUGAUUGGAUCUGGGACCUGGAGCUGCAGACGAGGCCCUGCUCUGAAUGACUUAUGGGCAGAGAGCAUGGGGGCAGGGGACACCAUAGUGGUGACUCGAUGUUGACCAUAUGUGCUGACCACCCACUGUGGGCAGGUCACUCAGCUAAACUUGUCAUAUGCAUCAUCCCAUUGAUUCUCAGUACAUCUUAGGGGAUAGAUGGUCUUGUCUUUUCCAUUUUUCCAGCAAGUUGGAUUAUUUGCCCCAAGUCACACAGCUGCCAAGCGGCAUAUCUAGAUGUCAGUUGCACCAGAGUUCUGUCUCCCCAGCCCCCAGCUACAUGGACAUAAAGAUGUGUCCUCUGGGAGUAAACGGCAUAAACCAAGGUCAAGAGAGAAUUAGGUUUGUUCAGGGCUUUAUUGGAUUCAAAGCAUUUUUGUGUAGUUUGUGGAAUAUAGCUUUGUUUUCAUUAUUAUUCCCAUUUUACAGAUGAGGAAUUUAAGGCUAAGUAAGCCCCACCCAAGGGUACAGAGGUCACAGUAGGGUGGCAGGAUUCCAGCCCCAGCCUGCGGCCCCCAAUUCUGAGCUCUUUCUCUGCCCUCCUUUGGGGAAAGGUGUGCUUCCCGAUGCUGGCUGGGGGCUGUGAACAGGAAGGGGAAGCACAAAGUGGAAGCGGAAUUUAUUCUAGAAAAACCGGCUUAGCCUGGAGGAGGACUGCUGGUCUCCCAGGGGAGCAUCAGCGUGGGUGAAAGGUGAGUAGCUUAAGGGAGGUGGGAGGGAGAGCAGCUUCACCCUGGAGGUAAGGGCUGGCCUGAGGACCCACAUGGCUAAUGCACCUUGUAGGUAUUUGCUAACCUGCUAUAGCCAGGCUCACCUGGCAUAGAGGAGAAGGGCAAACACCAGAUUGGUCCAGGAUCAAAGAGACGGGUUUCUCCCCAGCCCCACCCACCCCCUGUCAAAGCUGGAAGUACAGAGUCUGGGGUCAGAAAACCUGGGUCCCAGUUCUGGCUAACCCACGCUGACCUUUAGCAAACUGUGGAACCCCCAUUUCCUCAUCUGUAAAAUGGGGAUAAUAACAUACUCACUUCACACAUGACUGAGGAUUAUGUGUAUAUAACGCUGCACACCUGCACACAGGUGAGCUAUUCAGACUGGGACAAGGGAGACACAUAAAAAAUGUUUAUGAACUGCCACCUCCUUCCAGGGCUGAGGCUAGGGGCCAGGAGGGGGAACUCUGAGGCUGUGGGUCACCUCCUGGGGCUGUGCAGGUGGGGCAGGACAGCCGCCUGUUGCACACUCAGUUCCUUCCCUGGGGACUCAGGAAGAGGCCAGGCAGGGUGGGGUGGACAGGAUGCCACUCAGCUCCUGUCACCAGCUCUCCUAACUACCUGCCAGCAGGUCUGGCAGGCCCCCUGGGAAACCAUCCAUGAGGGGGGGAGUUCCAAUGUCAAGGAGAAAAGUAAAGGCGAGGUGCUGGUCCUUUGAGGCGGCCUUUCUUUAAAUUAGGACUAGAAGCUAUGGUUCCCCCCAUCACCCCCCAUCUCCUGACACCCAGUGGUUCCCCAGUAGAGGAAGUGCCUUCACUGGACAGAGAAGCGUUUUCUAAACAUGGCCUCAGUUUAGUCUGGGCCUAUUUCAUCCUCCAGGAAAGGGGUGGGUGGCCAUGAGCUACAGGGAGAAAGAGAAAGAAUGACAGGGAGUGGGGGAGAAUCUGCCCGUGCAGGCCAGGCAGGCGGGUAGUGGUGGGGUCUCCUGGGGCCUCCAGAGCUCCGCGGCCCUGGAAAGUGGCUCCUGCCCCCGCCACUGAACCAGGUGCCACGGAGGGAUCACCUUCCCUGCCACAAAGGGCCCCGUUCAAAGGCUGCAGCAGCCUAGAUUCUCACAGCUGCUUUUCACCUGCUGGACAGGGAGAAGCCCUUUAUUCAUCCUCCCCAACCCCCGCUGAGAAACACCAGCAACGGGCAGGGUGCCCGGCCUCCCUUCUCCCCGCCCCCACCUCAGCCCUGCCCACAGCACCCACCUGCCUCAGCGCUCUCCUCCCACCUGUUGGGCUCAUUACCGGCCACAUGCACUUGUGCCUGGGAAGGUGGAUCCAGGAGGCUGAUGCUGCGUGGGCCAGGGAUCCUGAAUGGCCCAGUGCUGCCCAGUCUUUGCCCUUUGCCUGCUGACUUGCCCCACCUCAUCUUCCUUGCAUGGCCUGAUUCGCAUCAGAACUGACAGGUCGGUCAGCUCUGGGAGGACAGCCCCAGCCCCAGCCCCAGCUGUGGGGCUGGCAGGCGGGACCAGGGCCAGCCGGCCCCUCCCUCUGCUCCAUGGCCCAGCUUACAAGAGCCUCCGACGUUGCCUGCAAGUGCCACUCAGAACGCAAGGGCAAGUGGGGGAACUCUACACCUGAUUUACCUAACGUGAGCCCUUGAUAUGUCUAAUUUCUGGCUUACGUAGCAGUCUUUUUUUUUUUUUUUUUUUUGUCUUUCGCUCAAUAACUAGAAGUUCCUUCCAGAAAAGGAAGUUUUACAGAGAAAGGGAGACAGUUCAAUAUAAGGAUGAAGAUAUACCUGUAGUUGAAAUAUGAAGCCACAGCAACACCUUCCCGUUUCUUCUUCAGGUGAUGAGAUGGGUCAGGGCCAUUACUAUUACAAGAACGAGGCCCAAGAACUUGCCAAGGACAGGCUGGGGCAGAGAACACACCCUUGGCCGGGUCACAGGCCCUGGGGGCUGCAGGCUGAUGUCGGGAGAGACCCUGCUGAAGGCAGUGCAGAGAGGGCGAGGGCCUCAGGUGCUAGAACUCUGAGAGCUGG